UGUAUAAUAUGGCGACGACGGUAUCGAUGAGGACGAUGAUGAUGAUGAUGAUGUUAUUAUCUUUGUUGGAAAUGUUUUUAUUGUUAUUGCUGUUGAUGAUGAUGAUGAUGAUGAUUAUGAAGAAAAGGAAAUUGACAAUAUCAACAAAACUCCCGUUGCAGCUUAAUCCGGAAGUAAAGUUUGGAUUGACAAAUACUGAAUAUCAGAAAUGGAAAAUUCUAUCUUCGAUUUCUGGAAUUUAAAAUUUGUAUUUCUGAAAACAAAAGAAAAACAAAAAAGCGAAAAAAAUUCUAUAUUUAACGAGACCAAUAAAAGUAUUGAAUUCUUUGUC